AUUGAACGCUGGCGGCAUGCCUUACACAUGCAAGUCGAACGGCAGCACGGGUGCUUGCACCUGGUGGCGAGUGGCGAACGGGUGAGUAAUAUAUCGGAACGUACCUUAUUGUGGGGGAUAACGCAGCGAAAGCUGUGCUAAUACCGCAUAAUCCCUAAGGGGGAAAGCGGGGGACCGUAAGGCCUCGCGCAAUUAGAGCGGCCGAUACCUGAUUAGCUAGUUGGUGAGGUAAAGGCUCACCAAGGCAACGAUCAGUAGCUGGUCUGAGAGGACGAUCAGCCCCACUGGGACUGAGACACGGCCCAGACGCCUACGGGAGGCGGCAGUGGGGAAUUUUGGACAAUGGGGGCAACCCUGAUCCGGCAAUGCCGCGUGAGUGAAGAAGGCCUUCGGGUUGUAAAGCUCUUUUGUCAGGGAAGAAACAGCAGCUCUAACACAGUUUGCGAAUGACGGUACCUGAAGAAUAAGCACCGGCUAACUACGUGCCAGCAGCCGCCGUAA
rnacentral:rRNA from 1 species